AGUCGAACGACACAGUGGCAGACGGGUGAGUAACGCGUGGGAACGUGCCCUUCAGUACGGAAUAGCUUCUGGAAACGAAAGGUAAUACCGUAUACGCCCUCCGGGGGAAAGAUUUAUCGCUGAAGGAUCGGCCCGCGUUAGAUUAGCUUGUUGGUGAGGUAAUGGCUCACCAAGGCGACGAUCUAUAGCUGGUCUGAGAGGAUGAUCAGCCACACUGGGACUGAGACACUGGCCCAGACUCCUACGGGAGGCAGCAGUGGGGAAUCUUGCACAAUGGGCGAAAGCCUGAUGCAGCCAUGCCGCGUGAAUGAUGAAGGCCCUAGGGUUGUAAAAUUCUUUCAUCAGGGACGAUAAUGACGGUACCUGAAGAAGAAGCCCCGGCUAACUUCGUGCCAUCAGGCGCGGUAAUACGAAGGGGGCUAGCGUUGUUCGGAAUUACUGGGCGUAAAGCGCGCGUAUGCGGACUGGUAAGUCAGAUGUGAAAUCCCGGGGCUCAACCUCGGAACUGCAUUUGAAACUGUUAGUCUAGAGGCCAGGAGAGGUUAGUUGGAAUGCCGAGUGUAGAGGUGAAAUUCGUAGAUGUACGGUGGAACACCAGUGGCGAAGGCGACUGACCUGGACUGGUACUGACGCUGAGGCGCGAAAGUGUGGCGAGCAAACAGGAUUAGAUACCCUGGUAGUCCACACCCGUAAACGUUGAGUGCUAGUCGUCAGCAGGCAUGCCUGUCCGGUGACGCAGCUAACGCAUGAAGCACUCCGGCUUGGGGAGUACGGCCGCAAGGGUAAAACUCAAAGAAAUUGACCGAGGGCCCGCAACAACCGGUGGAGCAUAUGGCUUAAUUCGAAGCAACGCAGCAGAACCUUACCUACCCGUGACAUGCCCGGUUUGCUUGCCAGAGAUGGCUACCUUGAUUCCGUUCGCCGGUGCACAGGUGCUGCAUGGCUGUCGUCAGCUCGUCUCGUGAGAUGUUGGCUUAAGUCCCGCAACGAGCGCUACCCUCAUCCUUAGUUGCCAUCAGGUUUGGCUCGGGCACUGUAAGGAAACUGCCGGUGGCAAACCGGAGGAAGGUGGGGAUGACGUCAAGUCAUCAUGGCCAUUACGGGUAGGGCUACACACGUGCUACAAUGGCAGUGACAAUGGGAUAAUCCCAAAGAACUGUCUCAGUUCGGAUUGUCGUCUGCAACUCGACGGCAUGAAGUUGGAAUCGCUAGUAAUCGUGGAUCAGCAU
rnacentral:rRNA from 1 species